GGAUAGACUCCCCACUCCCACCCAAGCACAAGCACCAAGCACUCCAUAAUCCAUUCCAUUGUGAACAAACGACAUUUUGAUAUUUUUUUGGUGUAUUGCCAUGCCAGUCACUACGAUCGAUACUGUUUAUUUCUUAUUUUAAUAUAUUCUUUCGGAAAUAUUGUAGAUAAUAUGCCUUUUAACGGUUUUAAACAUUUUUGAAGACGGAAUUUGAUUUGGAAUUGUGAGUUCGUGCAAAGUUUGAGGCGAGAUGUCGGAGCAAUUUUCUUUGCGGUGGAACGAUUUCCAUACAAAUUUAUCGCAAUCCUUCCAAGCUCUGUUGGAAGGCGAAGACCUGGUGGACGUGACGUUGGCUGCAGGUGGACAGUAUGUUCAUGCACACAAGCUCAUCUUGUCCGUUUGCAGCCCUUACUUCAAACAACUAUUCAAGAUGAACCCGUGUGACCAUCCAAUUGUGAUAUUAAAAGAUGUGGCCCACCAUGAGCUGCGGCAGCUUCUGCAGUUCAUGUACCGAGGGGAGGUGCAUGUACGCCAGCAGGAGCUCUUCGCCUUCCUACACACAGCGGAGCUGCUUCAAGUAAAAGGGUUGACUUCAGGUAGAGAGCAUAGCGAGUCGCCGCCGCCAGUGUCUGACGAGAACAAAGGGCCCGAGGUCUCGGAGCCGUUGGGCGACAGCCAGAGCGAGUGGGUGCCCGGGGGAGAGGACACCAUAGCAACCGAAGCCCCCGCAGACUACCCCCCCGCCGCCGGCCUCGACGAUGCUGCGCGCAGCCCGCUCAAGCGGUUGCUUAAAGAUACACCCAAUAGAAACAGCUGUAACAUUAAGAAGAAAUCGCGAUCCAUUUACAACAGUCCGAUGCACAUUGAUAAUACAGAAUACGCUUCUGACGGAGAGCCAUUGAUCGACUUUGACGCUGAUGUAUACAAUAAUGUUCUGGUUAUGCCGGAGUCUGCUAAGGAAUCGGGGUGGAACUGCAAAAGUGGCGGUGUGAAAUGCCCCUCCUGUCACCGGUUCUUCGCAAACCGGUACAACCUGAAGGUUCACAUUCGCGACAAGCACGACACGCGCGAGGGCACGCUGCAGUGCGACAUCUGCCAGAAGCGCAUGCGCAAUCCCUCCUGUCUGCGCGUGCACAUGUACCAUCAUCGCAAGCAGGCGGCCUACCUCGCCCAGCUCGCCACGCAGCACCAGCACAGCGACCAAAUGAGACAUGUGUAAGAAAUCCCUAUAUGUAUUACUAACUAUAGCCCGCGACUAUGUCCGCGCUGAAUAAAUAUACUAUGUCUUAUUGCGUCGUUUCUGUGUAAAAACUGUUGAAAAGUUAUCCAGUGAAUAUGCAAAAACAAAAGGUACGUAUCCCCCGAGAAGCGUUCAUAGUUUCGGCAUUAUAUAUAAUUAAAAAAAAACGUAGCCUGUGCGUUCUUCCAGACAAUACUCAACACUUGUAUAUAUAUAUAAAUAUUUCAUCUAGAUUUAUGAAGCUGUUCAGGACAUACCUAAUAACCAACAUCCAUUCAAAUAUUCGCUUUUAUAAUAGAUAUUAUUUGGCUUUUGUCUGCGACUUCGCCACGUCUGAGUGGAAUAAAAAAAAGAUGUAACGUAUGUCUUAGUGGAGAUUAUGUCUUAUAUUUGUGCCAAAUUUCAUUAAGAUCUAUAAAUAUCACUGUUGUGGAAUUGUUGUUCAAGAUGACAUACUUUCUAAACAUUGGCAUUUUAUAUUAUAAUAUUAGUAAGAUUUGUAUGAAGCCCUUCUUGAGAUACGAAACCUCACUUAAUAUUGUUCCGGCUAGUUGUUUACGAACUGAUUUUUGACAUUUAAAUAUAUUGGUCAGGUGGCGCAUCAAGAGCAGGCGACACCGAGCAUGCCUGCCAUAUAACAUACAUAUAACAAGUUAUUAUGUCGACAACAAGAUCAUCCGAUACCAUUAUCACGGCUUGAUUUCGUUUUUGUUCUGAUCGUUUCGCCAUGUUAUUCGAACAAAGCGAAUGACUGAUAUCAAUGUUCGAUGCCUAUUUCUCAAUUAUUGCUUUCCAAAUCCCGGUUUUGGUACUGUUUGUAACCAAUUGCUUAAUUAUUUUGUGCAAUUUUAUUGUGUUUAAACAUUUAAUAGCAGUCGUGUGCGUAUGUAUAACGGCGGUGUGGGGAGGCGGCGCGACGUCGCGGCGCCGCGGCGGACGACACGAUCCAGAGGCUGGGGCUGAGGGGAGCUUUGCCCGGGGAGCGAGAUGUGUUUGUUAGAUGUGUGUAUUGGUGAAGCGAUCGAUAGUGCGGUGCGCAAAUGCGCAGCUGCGCGCCGCCGGCUGCCUCCCCGGCCUCGGCCCACCUCACAACUAAUGCGGAUCGCCUAAGAGAAGAGCGCGCUGCUCUCCCUGGCCCAGCUAUGUUUGCUUCUAAUAUAAAAAAAAUGGUUUCUCGCCUUUACAACAUGACUCUAGGAGUUGCACUACGUUUCCUGAUCAUGUGCGUGCAAAAAAUGGUGGGCAACAACUGGCGCUCUGACUCACCCAGCGCUAAGGCGGACCGCAACGAUACCGGAAA